rnacentral:rRNA from 1 species
UACGGAGGGGGCUAGCGUUGUUCGGAAUUACUGGGCGUAAAGCGCACGUAGGCGGCUUUGUAAGUUAGAGGUGAAAGCCCGGGGCUCAACUCCGGAAUUGCCUUUAAGACUGCAUCGCUAGAAUUGUGGAGAGGUAAGUGGAAUUCCGAGUGUAGAGGUGAAAUUCGUAGAUAUUCGGAAGAACACCAGUGGCGAAGGCGACUCUUUGGUCUGUAACUGACGCUGAGGCGCGAAAGCGUGGGGAGCAAACAGG